rnacentral:rRNA from 1 species
AUUGAACGCUGGCGGCAUGCCUUACACAUGCAAGUCGAACGGCAGCACGGGAGCAAUCCUGGUGGCGAGUGGCGAACGGGUGAGUAAUAUAUCGGAACGUGCCCAGUCGUGGGGGAUAACGUAGCGAAAGCUACGCUAAUACCGCAUACGAUCUAUGGAUGAAAGCGGGGGAUCGCAAGACCUCGCGCGAUUGGAGCGGCCGAUAUCAGAUUAGGUAGUUGGUGAGGUAAAGGCUCACCAAGCCGACGAUCUGUAGCUGGUCUGAGAGGACGACCAGCCACACUGGGACUGAGACACGGCCCAGACUCCUACGGGAGGCAGCAGUGGGGAAUUUUUGGGACAAUGGGCGCAAGCUGAUCCAGCAAUGCCGCGUGCAGGAUGAAGGCCUCGGUUGUAACGU